AUGACGCGUACGCGUGACGAGCGUCACAUAAUGCAGAUAUCAGAAAACGCUGGGGCAAUUUCUUGGCUGUCUUUGGCCCAGUUCCAAUCCUGAAAACACUUAUUAGAGGCUGCAGAGUGAGGUAAUUAGGGAUG